CAAAAGCUGCCAGCAGCUGAUUCAAAAGAGAAUAUGAAGUAAGGACUUGGGGAAAGAGUGAAGCAUGCUCAUGAAAAUGAGGAAAGAAAAAAUGGAUCUAUUGAAGAAUGGGCUUAUGAAGUAAAGGAAGAGCUUUUCACCAAAGAUGGGACCUACUAUACAGUACUUGUGAGAAAGGCAGCUGGACUGGACAGAUGGAGUCUGUGAUGGGGAAAGCAAACACAGAAUGUUAUCCUUGCUGUCCAUGCUUAUGGUCUAAAUUCACAUACAUGUACUAACAAGCCCACACUCACAUUAAAGAUGGAGUUGUUAGGAGCAUGACGCUGAAAUCAAAGAACCUGGGUCCAAACUCCAGCACCACCAUUUAUUGGCUGUGUGGACUUCAAUAGAUCACCUACUCCUAGACUUCAAUUUCUUCAUCUGUAAAAUGGACUUGGUAAAAAUCUACACAUUUGGCCCAUUACGAUGAUCAGAUGAGAGCACACUUAGAGCUCUUACAAGGAUGUGUGGAACACAGGGGGCAAAGGAAUGACAUUCUCCAUGUAUCAUAGUUCAAAUGCAGAUCAUUUUCCUGGACUCUGAGAAAGACGAAUAGACUACUGGGCAUGUUCCUCGGAGAAGAGCAGCAUGGAAGUGACCUGUGAGACUGCUCUGCUUUGCAUCUCUUCACUUGCUGUAGUUUGAUGUAUAAAGUGGAGAAUUUGGAAUAUUGGACUCAACCAUUUUCUUGGUACCUGAAGCCUCUCUGGCAUUCUCUUAGCCAAAUAAUACUUAAUAUGUUUAUCUAAAACCCUGCUUUGCCAUUAUCUUAGUUAACAGAGGUAACCAUAUUAUUAAUAUCUUUAUUGAGAGACAUAAAUAUUUCUAUUACAACUAAUAUAACUUCAUACUAACUUUGACAAAUACAAAAAUUCAUGCCUGAGGCAACAUUUCCAUAAAAUUCCUAAAGAAAACAUGAUUUAAAAUUUUGGAAUAAAAAAGUAGGAAGAGCUCAAAUAAAGGGUUCUUCCUUAAGUGUUUCUCUGCCAAGCUGGCCAUGUUUAAGGUUUCAGACUCAGGACCUAUUAAGGAACAAAGGUCAUCUAUGUGCUCACAAAGGAGUCUCUGCUUCUUUAAAACGACAUUUUAAACAACUGCGUUGAAUAAUUCUAAGGUGAUAGUAUGCCUGUGUUAUUUUUUUCUACCUCUUAAUGAAUAUUUAUUACUUUGCAUGUAUUGCUAUUGUAGUUUGAACUCGAUGUACUGAUCUGAAUGAUAAUGGAAAACUAAUAUUAACAUUGUUUUAGGUGUGGUACUUCCAGCAGCCUCACUAAAUCGUUUUUUGACUUGAUGCUCUUCUGUUUCCUGCACCUAGAUUGAAACAAAAGAAAAUAAAUUUGUGUCAUUUUUUUAUACUAGACAGUAUAGAAAACUUGUAAGGUAAUAAUAUUUAUGAAUAAAUACCUUGAAUGUCCUAGACAGCUAAUUUUACCUAAGGCUCGCAACAGUAAUUCAAGAAACACAUUAUCCCCAUUAUAAUGGAGAAACUGAGACCGAGAAGUUAUGCAACUAUCCCAAUUAAGACAGCUAGUAUACAGCUGAAUGUGGAUUCCUGAGUAAUCUCUGAGUUCUUUGGCUCCAAGCCCAGGUUCUAGUUGCUAUACUACUCUGGCUUCUUCUGAUCCCAUUCAUCAAACAGAAUGUGCUAGCUAAAGAGAUGCUCCCUGACAGGUAUUACGUACUGCAGUAACUCUUAAAUCAGAAUUUCCUUGUGCAUUUUAAGAUCUGUAAAUAGUACUCCACGUAACCUGGCAGUCCAUGAUUAGAAAGCCCUGUAUAUUGGCAACAAGGCCUUUCCAUUACUCAGCUUUCUACUGAUACAAAACGGUUCACAGAUUUAUAUACUUAUACUGGGAGUGACGGAAUUAUAUGUGCAUGUCACAGAGAAUCCAAAGAAUACAAGACACUAUGCACUUACUUAGGGGAAAAAAAAAAAAAAAAGUUUUCCCUAAAGAGUUCAAUAUUAGGAGUUAUUUAAAAUAAUAUAUAUUUACCUGGCUUCGGGCAUAUUCUGCUUAAAAUAAACUUUAAGUGAAACAAAUCUACUCUUUUUAUUUGGCCAGAAUUCAUCUAGUGACA